UGGUUCCUUAUUUUUCGUGUGCUCGUUUCAUAUUUUAUAUCUAAAUAACUAAAAACUGUACGUCAUUUCUGAAUUCUGUUUUUGAGCUUUUGUUGAGAGUUUGGGCGGCUUCACAGGAUCUAAAGUGGGUUCACAUAUCUUCUGUAGAAGCAUUAGGUCAGAUGGUUGGCCUUAUUACCCGGACACAAUUGAAGGCGGCUUUACCCAGACUUGUCCCUACAAUAUUGGAAUUGUAUAAAAGAGAUCAAGCUAUUGCCUUUUUGGCAACAUGCAGUCUUCACAAUCUCUUACAUGCUUCGGUACUGUCAGAAAGUGGUCCU